AAACCAACAGGGAUUGCCUCAGUAACGGCGAGUGAAGCGGCAACAGCUCAAAUUUGAAAUCUGGCCUCGUGCCCGAGUUGUAAUUUGCAGAGGAAGCUUUAGGCGCGGCACCUUCUGAGUCCCCUGGAACGGGGCGCCAUAGAGGGUGAGAGCCCCGUAUAGUCGGAUGCCCAGCCUGUGUAAAGCUCCUUCGACGAGUCGAGUAGUUUGGGAAUGCUGCUCAAAAUGGGAGGUAAAUUUCUUCUAAAGCUAAAUACCGGCCAGAGACCGAUAGCGCACAAGUAGAGUGAUCGAAAGAUGAAAAGCACUUUGAAAAGAGGGUUAAAUAGCACGUGAAAUUGUUGAAAGGGAAGCGCUUGUGACCAGACUUGCGCCGGGCUGAUCAUCCGGUGUUCUCACCGGUGCACUCUGCCCGGCUCAGGCCAGCAUCGGUUCUCGCGGGGGGAUAAAGGUCUCGGGAACGUAGCUCCUCCGGGAGUGUUAUAGCCCGGGGCGUAAUGCCCUCGCGGGGACCGAGGUUCGCGCAUCUGCAAGGAUGCUGGCGUAAUGGUCAUCAGCGAC
rnacentral:rRNA from 2 species